UACGGAGGGGCUAGCGUUGUUCGGAAUUACUGGGCGUAAAGCGCACGUAGGCGGCUUUGUAAGUUAGAGGUGAAAGCCCGGGGCUCAACUCCGGAAUUGCCUUUAAGACUGCAUCGCUAGAAUUGUGGAGAGGUAAGUGGAAUUCCGAGUGUAGAGGUGAAAUUCGUAGAUAUUCGGAAGAACACCAGUGGCGAAGGCGACUUACUGGACACAUAUUGACGCUGAGGUGCG
rnacentral:rRNA from 1 species